UUACGUUCGACGUCAAAGAGAAGUCAGGUGAAGAUGAUUAAAAAAUCAAUCACAAAAAUGGUCGCUGUCACGGCUGUGUGGAUGUACGGGACUGUGGAAAGAAAUGUCGUGGUGACUUGUGAAGCAAGUUAGUUGUACUGUAGCCUCACAACGAACAGUAGAAAGUUAACAACAAACUUUUCAUCAAACAACCAGGAGAGCUAGCUUGUUUCCAGUCAGCUAACUGUUCUACCAACAGACGCUCAGUGGGACAUUACAGACUAUCACAUGGAUAUGGACCACUUCCCCUCCGUGAAAGAAAGGAGAAUGGAUUUAAAGUAUUACACGUCAGCUCAUACCUUGGCUGUGACUGACAGCGUAUGAAGGGAAGACUAAUAAGAUGCUGAAGGUGCUGCAGGACUGCUGCUGCUGCUGCUGCUUGUGGACGUGCGCAGUAACAACUGUUUACUCGCAUCCAAGACGUAAUUCCUGAUCUAAAGCAGAGCCACGCUUUAUGUAAGGUGCUACUUUGUCCUUCCCUCCCCGUCCUGCUUCAGAUGAAUUUUCCACGCUCAGUCAUUUCUACACUAAACACUUUCUCGUCUCUUGUCAGGACGGAUUUAGACAAUGUCCCUCCACUAUAUUCAUUUCUCUCUAAUCGUCUUUCCUCACCUGUCCUUGUAUUACCUGUCCCCUACCCAUCCCUCCCUCCCUCCCUCCCUCCCUCUCUCUCUCUCUCGGCUGAGUGACUCGUUGAGAUGGACGUAAUGAGACAGGUCCAUGCAGGGAGGGAGAUGGAGGCAGUGCCAUGAAGGAGUGCAGCCGUAAACAAGGUGAAAAAUAAUCAGGAACUCUGCCCUGACGUCAUGAGCCUGAAAUGAGGCGUCUCCUCAAAUACCAAUCCAAUCACCAUAGCUGCGUCUGAUCAAGUCAUGUCCCAUUUUGACAGCUGUCUCAGUGUACAGUGGCCUGACGUUGAGCCAGAGAGGAUAGGGAGCCACAGCGGCAAGGACGUGAUGUAGAGUUUCAUCAACGCCUCCACUGCUCCUUAUUCUCCAUCAGAAAUUCAGCUUUUUUUUUUCUCGGCUGGAUUACAAGAAUGACAGGUGAUGUAAGACCACAAGAUCACACUUAUAUAUGUUUUAUUCUUCUUUCAGCACGACAGUUGAUUAAACACCAUAGGGAGUAGUGCAGACUAGUUUUAAUGUUACACUUUAAUUUGUCAAAAGCAGAAAUAAAAAUCAUGUUUAGAUCAUGAAAUAGAAACAUGAAAUCAAAGGAAUAACCCUAGUUAAAAUAUAAAUAUAAAAUUGCAGCAACUUCUUUUAUUAUUCAUUGAUGAUCAUGGGAUCAUGUUGUUGAAAGGUCACCAAGCGAGCAAACUAGAUUAGCUAGAUAGCUGUGGGCUAAUAUGGCUGGCCUGAACUUAAAAGGACUGCUGUAUAUAGCAGCAGAGCUCCAGGCUUCAUAAUAUAAGCUUUCUGCUCACUGAUGUCAUCCAUUUUUUUUUUAGGUUCGGUCUAGAGUUAGGCUGAUCAAUACCCCAGGUAUCAAUACUAUCAAUACUAACUCUUGUUUUGAGUGUCUGUAUUCACUAUCAAUAGGACUGAUAUGAAAAUGAAUCUGUCUCUCCGCUCUGUCUGUAUCAAUAGAGCAGCAAACAACGGCCUGUUGUCAUCUUUUGAAGUUAGAUCACGUUCUGGGUACGUGAACACACUUCUCAGUGCAUGAUCUCUCUAAUAUGUGCAGCUACAGCAUCACCUCAUUAGCUCAGAGAAGACACGGGUAGUUUCUGGGCUGUGUGAACAAAGGAGGACAAUCAUUUGGACUCAUCUCACUUGCACGCAAUGGAAUAAUUAUCAAAGAAAUACACUUAUUUAGUUUCUUGCUGCCACACUCAUGUUUGUAUGGUAAACAUGAAGCUACCGCCAACAGCCGGUUAGCUAAACCACACUUCUUCUUGGGCUCUGCUGGUUGCCUGCACACUACACAGUGACAACAAGAAGUAGUCGCACAUAACCCCCCGUUAAAAGUAAUUUUUAUUAAAACAAACGAGAUAUAACAUGUUAAGAAGUGCGCUUUAGAGGUUCCGCUAGGUGGAUUUUGUUAGCUUACGGCACAGCCUGGCUAACUGUUUCUUCCCGUCUCCAGUGUUUAAGCUAACCAGCUACCAGCUACUUCAUAUUUAGCAUACAGCAGUUUUUUCUCAAACUUUUUCUGGUGUUCUUCACCCCAUAAUUUUUGUCAAACAUUAACAAUGAUAGGGUAAGCAACUAAUAUAAAAGGAUCCGAGUUAAAGUUUAGUGAAAUAAAGGUCCGCAUCAGCCAACUCUGUCUAUUUUCCCUACAUAAAUCAUAUUCAUUCAACUUAGUUUCACUCCAUGUUUUUCUUCUGGUAAGGAGGACCCGUCCCACAGUUUAGGAACCAUUGGACAUGCUAGUGGUAUCAAUCUUCUCAUCUUAAUCUUUCCAAGAAUGCAAAUUACUUGUUCGGCAAAUAAUUUGCUGUAUAUGAAAAUGUAUUAGGAAGUAGUAGUAUCAGUGAGGCAUCCGCAUCCUAAAUCAGGACACAUUAUUCUUCCCAACAUGGUAGCACGGAACUUCUAUAGUAAAGUAUUGUGUUUUGGUUAAAUCAAUAACCAAAUUGCCCUAGUUCUCUUUAAAGUUACUUUAACCUGCAUUACGGAUUUUUUUUUUUACCACUUGAUGACAUAUUAUCCUCUUAUAAAGUUGGUAUGGCUAAUGGUUACCUACUGUAUUUAUACAUCCAGCAGACACAGAGCAAGAUUAAUGUUCAGUUGGAGUUGUGUUUCAGUCUACCUGGCAUAUUCCCAUCCAAUAUUCACUUUGCUUUUAGCUCUGUUUUGGUCCUGAGGAGAAUAUCUGACUCUUUAACUGCUGAAUGCUCCUCUGUGUAAAAAAGUUAUGGACAUAAAACCAAAACAAUAAGCUGAAGGAUGCUAAAAUGCUCCGUAGUUGGAUCAUAAUUCCCUUCCAUUUUUUCCAGUGUUAAUAUAAAAACAUUGACUUGUGCAGCUUCAACUAGAAAAAGCGAUCCAGGCUCCACCGUCAGUGAGAUCAUUUCUGCCUCUGAGAGAUGUUUGCAAACUGUUUUUUCCUGCUGCCUUUUUCGUUUCUCCAGCUCUCUCUCCCUUCCUCUGUUUCCGUCUCUCUCUCUCCCUCUCUCACCUCAUAUCUCCAGCUGUCGCCUGGUAGAAUGUAAAUGAGCCUCUCAGCACAGGGCCUGUGAUGGUGUCAGCCCUCUCCUUAGUCUCUGGUCUCAUUAGAAGCCUAGUGUAGCUGACAUUUACCCAGCCGCUGUGUUGACUAGCUCUUCAUGCGGGCCAUAUGGGUCAAAACAAUACACAGUGAAACUUCAGCAAUCCAAAUCUCUUUGGGAAGGAAGGUCGCUGGAGCUUGUGAGAUGACUGGAUGGCGACUAAAAACCGUUAAAAUGUCCAAAAAAAGGCCUUGAAAUGUAAAAAAAAAAAAAAAAAAAAUCAAUCCACAUUCCUUUCUUAAUGACCCAUGUGGUCUAAUUUGAAGUGAAGUUAAAAAUCUAAAGCACUGCCAUUCAUGCGGUCCUGUGUCCUUGCUGUAUUGUGUGUACUGUUGGCCUCUGUUAAGUUGUCAGUGCACAAAUGUCAGCAGGACAGAUUCCUGGCAGCUGAACUAAUUAAGAUUCUGAAUUAACAGCAAACGCUCAACAUUUUUCAAUUCUUUUUGUCUGCACAAAUGCACCAAAAAUCUGAAAUUGCCACGGUCGUUUUUGCACAAUAACCUGUGUGAUUUUUACACAUUAUUCUGCCAAUUGAUAAUGUCCUCUUAAUAAUAUAAAAUUUGCUUUGAUUUUGGUGAACAACAGCCAUCUCCUGAGUUAGCUCUGUGAGUUUGAAAUUAAUAGGAUGGCCACAGCUAUUUCCUGACUCUUCUUCCUCUUGGGAUCCUGCAGCUCUGUUUUUCUGCGGUCCUCUCAUCCUGUUACUAAUGCCUGACUCUGUGUAACCCUUAUCUCCAUGCUCACUACAUGGCCUGAUAGGGCUCUGUGUGUAAGCAAUUAAAACGGCUUAUUUGCCAGAUAAGUGAGGGAGAGCGGUCAGAUUGAAAGCCACAGGCUGCCAGUAUCAGGUCUUUAGGUUACAGCCCCCGGGUUAAAUAGCCCGGGGGUGCAGAGUGAGCCAAGCGAGGCGUACAGCUCAGUGUGAGUGUGUGUAGGGGCUGAAACUCUGCCAGAGGGAAACAUACACACAAGGUAUGUGUGUGUUUUCCACAUAACCAACAUACACUGAAAUUAAUAUUUAACCAUCAUCAUAAAUAAAGAUGGGGGGGGGAUACAGUAGAAAAUAUACCAUCCUGUGUUCAAAAGCUGUUCAUAUGUUUGUGGAUUUACAUAGCUGUGCAUGGAUAGAAUAUAUUCAUAUUAUACAUUCUUGUCUAAUGAACAAAACAAAUUCUCUGUGAAGUACUUCGUGUCUGUACAUCAAAGCCUGUUCCCACAUCUGAUUGCUAACAGGCAGACAGGUGCCAUAUGAUCUCAACACACUGUAUUCAGGGUUGAAACACAGGAAAAACUUGCUUUAAAGGUCCAGUGUGUAACAUUUGGGAGGAUCUAUAAGCAGAAAUGAAAUAUAACAUUCAUAGCUAUGUUUCCUUUAGUGUACAAUCACCUGAAAAUAGGAAUUGUUGUCAUUUCGUUACCUUAGAAUGAGCUGUUUAUAUCUACAGGCGCCACAUGUCGCCUGCAAUGGAGUCCGCCAUAUUGAACCACCAUGUUUCUACAGUAGCCCAUUAAGGACUAUAACCACACUAAAUGCCACUAAAUCCCACACACUGCUCCUUUAAUAUCAUAAUAAAACUAAUCACUACACAGAUGAACUUACUGCUCUGCUGGUCAUAUUGGAGGCAUCCAGCUUAAAGUUUUAUAGCUGCAUUUUCCUUCCCUAUUUGCUACUUUGUGCACCAUUUACUUUCUGGCAUUUUGUUCUUCAGACCAAAUGCACAACCUCAAAAAGUUAAUGCAAGGUUGUGCAGCAAACCAGGAUAUUACAGACCAACAUUUGAUCAUUCAGAAUAAUCAUUUUCUAACAUAGUUUGCCCUUGGAUCUUCUAUUUUCUACCAUGCUUUAGAUUUUAUAGGUAGGUACCGAGUGUAUAAAAUUAUGUAACAAUUCUGCUAUAUUCUGUGCCAGAGUUUCAGUGGACGAGCAUUGUGGAGGUCAGAGUAAGGGUCAAAGUUUAUUUUGAAUCAAUUUAAACCUAGUGGAAAAUCAUCAGUAGCUCUCUCCACUGGAAAUAGUGUGCUACAGUGUAAUGUUGAACCUACACCAUUUUUUUAAUUUUUUUUUUUGUGAAAGAACAGAAAGGGGAUGAUAUGCAGCAAGGGCCACAGGUCAGACUUGAACCCACGGCCACUGCAGCAAGGACUUUAUCGUAUGAGCUACCAUGGCAUUUUUGCUAUAGUUCACACAGUUCAAUGACUCCUUUGCAUUUGAUGCUAAAUAAUGAUUUUAUUUAUCAUUUACUCACCAUUGAGUAAACUGUUGAGUGUUCUUAUCUGAGGAAGUCAACAGCUAAGUCUGUCAAUAUUCCAUAUUCUGUCAAAAAAUACCAAAACUAACAAGGAAUUUGUCUCACUAUUAAACAAGUGUUCUCUGUGGAGCCAAAAGCUUCUUCCUCUCUGAAUAGACCACCAUAGAGCAUUAUUAUUAUUAUUAUUAUUAUUAUUGUCCAAAAUCUGUUCAUAAUGAGCCGCAGCAUUGCAGUGAAUGACAUGUUCCUUCAUUAUAAUGAACAUAAACACUGUAGUUUAUAUUUAUAGACACCAUCCAGCUGCAAAAAACCCUGACUGGAGAACCAAAUUUGUAUUAACCGGCUGUUGAAACAUUAUUCCCUUUUACAAAUUCCCUUUUACAGCUAUGAGUAAUACUACAGUUCCCAGCUGUUUUAGGAAGUUACUGUUUAAAGAUUUAUGGUAACGAAUUAGCUUGAAGCUGAGGGCCACAGACAGGGAAGGGAAGUUGAGUCAGUGAGCAUACUAACUAACGUAGCGUAUUUAGUAUUAAUAUCAUUGUUAUCUCUACAUGAGCCUGCUGGGUAGCUGGCUAUCCUGUCAGCUCAUUUCCUUAUUCUUUUUCUAUUUUUUCUAUUUUUAUUGUUAACCAAUCAUCGUAGUUCCGGGCGAGUUUCACCAAUCAUAGAAGCCCUCCACGCAAAACAUUGAGCCAUACAUCACCAAGCUACUAGUGAUUUUAUUCUCACUGGAACAAGAAGCCUUCGAUUUUUUUAUGAAUUCUACAAAAAUAAAUGCAACUAUUUUUGCAAUUUUCAUUUUCUCCUGCAAUUCCAAUGCAAAGAAAGCAUUGCAACAUGCAUCGCAGUUUUUUUUGUUUUUUUUUAGAAAAGCUGCCAUGAAAUCAGAUAUUUUUGCCCACAAAAUCCUGAAGGGACUGCAAA